rnacentral:rRNA from 1 species
GUAGUCCAUGCCGUAAACGUUGGGCACUAGGUGUGGGGCUCAUUCCACGAGUUCCGCGCCGCAGCUAACGCAUUAAGUGCCCCGCCUGGGGAGUACGGCCGCAAGGCUAAAACUCAAAGGAAUUGACGGGGGCCCGCACAAGCGGCGGAGCAUGCGGAUUAAUUCGAUGCAACGCGAAGAACCUUACCAAGGCUUGACAUACACCGGAAUCGGCCAGAGAUGGUCGCGUCUUCGGACUGGUGUACAGGUGGUGCAUGGUUGUCGUCAGCUCGUGUCGUGAGAUGUUGGGUUAAGUCCCGCAACGAGCGCAACCCUCGUCCUAUGUUGCCAGCACGUCAUGGUGGGGACUC